UACGUAGGGGGCAAGCGUUGUCCGGAUUUAUUGGGCGUAAAGAGCGUGUAGGCGGCCAUGUAGGUCCGGUGUGAAAACUCGAGGCUCAACUUCGAGCUGUCGGUGGAAACUUUCUGGCUAGAGUCCGGAAGAGGAGAAUGGAAUUCCUGGUGUAGCGGUGAAAUGCGCAGAUAUCAGGAAGAACACCCGUGGCGAAGGCGGUUCUCUGGGACGGUACUGACGCUGAGACGCGAAAGCGUGGGGAGCGAACAGG
rnacentral:rRNA from 1 species